UACGAAGGGGGCUAGCGUUGUUCGGAAUUACUGGGCGUAAAGCGCACGUAGGCGGAUAUUUAAGUCAGGGGUGAAAUCCCGGGGCUCAACCCCGGAACUGCCUUUGGUACUGGGUAUCUCGAGUCCGAGAGAGGUGAGUGGAAUUCCGAGUGUAGAGGUGAAAUUCGUAGAUAUUCGGAGGAACACCAGUGGCGAAGGCGGCUCACUGGCUCGGUACUGACGCUGAGGUGCGAAAGCGUGGGGAGCAAACAGG
rnacentral:rRNA from 1 species